rnacentral:rRNA from 1 species
GACGAACGCUGGCGGCGUGCUUAACACAUGCAAGUCGAACGAUGAAACCUAGCUUGCUAGGUCGAUUAGUGGCGAACGGGUGAGUAACACGUGACUAACCUGCCCCUUUCUCUGGGAUAACGCUCCGAAAGGAGUGCUAAUACCGGAUACUCACAUCGAGGCACAUGCCUUGGUGUGGAAAGUUUUUCGGAAAGGGAUGGAGUCGCGGCCUAUCAGCUUGUUGGUGAGGUAACGGCUCACCAAGGCGACGACGGGUAGCCGGCCUGAGAGGGCGACCGGCCACACUGGGACUGAGACACGGCCCAGACUCCUACGGGAGGCAGCAGUGGGGAAUAUUGCACAAGGGGCGCAAGCCUGAUGCAGCGACGCCGCGUGAGGGAUGAAGGUCUUCGGAUUGUAAACCUCUUUCAGUAGGGACGAAGCGAAAGUGACGGUACCUAAAGAAGAAGCACCGGCUAACUACGUGCCAGCCGCCGCGGUAA